AAUCAACGCUGGCGGCGUGCCUAACACAUGCAAGUCGUACGCGAAAGGGGCUUCGGCCCUGAGUAGAGUGGCAAACGGGUGAGUAACGCGUGGGUGACCUGCCUUCGAGCGGGGGAUAACGUUCCGAAAGGGACGCUAAUACCGCAUGACAUCCUGUCUUUAGACAGACGGAGAUCAAAGCCGGGGAUCGCAAGACCUGGCACUCGAAGAGGGGCCCGCGUCCGAUUAGCAGUUGGUGAGGUAAUGGCUCACCAAGGCGACGAUCCGUAGCUGGUCUGAGAGGACGACCAGCCACACUGGGACUGAGACACGGCCCAGACUCCUACGGGAGGCAGCAGUGGGGAAUAUUGGACAAUGGGGCAACCCUGAUCCAGCAAUGCCGCGUGUGU
rnacentral:rRNA from 1 species